UGCCCGCGGGGCUCGCACAGUAUAGUGCGUACGCCCGAUAACCCUAUACACAUGAAUGUGUACACACAUCAUCUUGGUGCGUACGCACGAAUGCGAAAAAUCCCCACCCCCCCUUCUGUUGCGAGCCCUAAGACCCUUUGCACCUCAAUUUCCCUCUUCUCUUUCCCAAUGUUAAUUCCUCUUCUCUUCUUCCGUUUCAAUUUCUUUCCACCACCUCCACUACCACCACCAUCAACCUCAACCGCUGCUCCUUACCACCGGAAACCACCGAGCCGCCGUCCUUUCACCCCAUCACUUCUUCCUCUUUUCUUAACCCUUCUCUCUUGCCCGUUCCCAAGCCCUACACCCAGCCUUCGCCACAGCGUCCUUACCGGUGUCCCGACCCAUCACUACCCCCUCUCCGAACCCUAACUCUGCCAACCAUCACCGUCAGCCUCGAACCAAAACCCCGCGACCCUCUUCUCCCACUCGCGUCUCUUCUCAGCGUCGAAUCACAUCGCAACCUUCCCUUCCUCGUCGACCUGUUUCAACCUCCAGUCUCAACCACCCCGCCCAGCCGCGUCAUCACCAGUGCGGUCAAAACCCGCACCACCUAACCUCCACUCACAACCAUCCCCUUCUCUCUGUUUCCCCCUUCCACUUCCUGCGAGAGCGGGUACAGGACAUGUCCCCUGUUUCCAUUUCACUGGACCCCAGGGAAGCUAGCUGCGCCAGCACCACCAGCAGUCCGGCCAAUUCCGCUGCUGCCCCCACACACUUCCAGUGCUUGCCUUCCCCACCUCUGUUCCAUUCCUUCCUUCUAGUUGAGAAGAAUCAUUUUCUCCAGCAGCACCGACAUUCCACCUAAGCCGAACAUUCCAUCCGAUCAUUCUGAGGAGAAGGAGGCCCAGCAUCAUGAGCCGGAGGAGGCACAAGAACCCCCAGCCGAUGGUAGCGACGAUUCUUUCCACUCCGCUUGAUCUGAGCAUCGAGAACGGGGCUACAUCUUAAGUGUGGGGAGGCUGUGCAACUUCAACAAGCAUAUUUUGGGUUUUGAAGACAAGAAUGUAUUGAAGAAGUUGAAGGAAAGCAUGCAAAGUGGAAAAAUUCAAGAAAUGAAAGACUUGCAAAGCUGUCAAUCCUAACCUCUUCACACUAAAUUGAUUAUAACCUGAGCUGUAGAGGUCCAAAUGAUGCGGUAUCGACGGCAUUGGAAAGCUAACAUCCGAUGCUUCAAAAUGAUAUGUAUAUGUCCAUACUGGACAUGGAGUUUGGGUGUGCGUAUGCACACACUUGUGCGUAGGAACAGGAAGAAAAUCAGCAAGUAUGCGUAUGCACAAGUCCUGGAACGUGAUUUCAUUAAUUGCAACUCGCUGGGCAGCGAUUUUUGGGCAUCCAAAGCCCACUCCAACUCAUUUCUGAAGUUAUUUCAAGUCAAAUUGAAGAAGGAUGAAGGGGCAAGCAAUUAGGUUUAGGUUUUUACAUGUUUUGGCUUAGUUUUUCUAGAGAGAGAAGCUCCACCUUCUCUCUAGAAUUUAGGGUUUUUGUCUUAGUUUCUUUUUAAUUUCAGAUUUUAAUUCUUGUUUUAAUAUAGUUUCAUUUAUGUAUCUAUGCUUUCUUGUCUUGAUUUUCUUAAUUUCUUUUGUCAUUUUCUGAAUUUUGUCAUUUUUAGUUUAUGAAUACUCUUGUCAAUUUUGGUUUGAUUAAUGCAAUUUUAAUGUUUUAUGUUUCUUUGA